GUGACGACACAGCCAAACCAACUCAGCAUCCACCGAAGCAGCUCAAGCCAACCAGAGACCAGACCGACACCCGUUCAAUUUUUUUUUGAAUCUCGUCUCUCUCGGUCUCUCCUCUCAUCCUCUUACGGUACACGGAAGCAGCCCGAGGCGGCUCCUGCAUCCCGGCGCCCGCUCCCCACCGCGGACCGCGCCCCGCGGUGGCAUCUCCUACAUCCGGGUCCGGCUGGUCCAUCCCCACCUCUUGCAUCCCGGCGUCCUCUCCCCAUCUUUGGCAUCUCGGUGAGCGGCGGUGCCGCUCUGCUGCAAGGCCUUGCGAGGGGACUACGCGAUCGCGGCUGCGGCUCUGCACGGGCCAUGGGGAGGGCCUAGGUGGACUCACUAGCCGGCGGCCGCCGACAGUGCGCGUGCCCGGCCGCGCGUGGGCCAACGGUGCCUCUCGAGGAGGUGGAGCCGCUGACGGCACUCGAUGCCGCACGGCAGAGGGCCACAUGUCCUCUCUUUCCCCGACAUGGCAAGGCGGCCUGCUUCUCCGACCGACGGGGGCAGCAGCAGCAGCUUCAGCGUGGAGGCAACAUGGAGUGGUGACGGUGGGCUUUCCCUGGUGGCGCUGCAGGCCUACAGGCCCAAAGAGACUCAUGGUGGACCUGGCGAGAGCUCAAAUGGCCAGCAGCAGUGGGCACAUUCAGAGCUGUUGCAAGUCUGUCGUGCCACAUGGUGGCGUCCGCUCGAGCGGAGGCGUUCUAUGCCCCAUGCUCGGCAUCCACCACCACCAUCCAUUCUCGUCCAUCGGCAAGAUACAUGCAUAUGCCUAACUAGAUUGUCCACAACACAUUCAAAAUGCCUGUCGCUUUUGGACACACUGAUUUUUUAUGGUUUUACAUUAGCUUUUGAUCCAAUUUGGUUGUUGCCUUACAGGAACAACGUAGUUUUCUAUGCAAUAUUGAUGUGUCCAUUUAGAGAUAAGUUGUUUCUGUACUUGCAUACAUAAGUUUCUAUGCAUAUCAAUUAUGAUUUGACAAUCUGACUAAAUAAAAUAUUUUUUAGAUGCAUAGAAAUUGAAAUCUUUAAUAUGUUUCUAUGCCUUUCUUACCAUUGCCCCAAAGCUUCUUCAGAUCUAGUGCCUAGCAGGCUACUCCCGCUUCCACGCUGCCUCACAUGUUGAUGGUUAGAAGGAUUCCUCUAUUUUUGGUGUGAGGUCAAUGGUGGCUCGGACAUUAUAAGACAUGACUUGCGACGUUCACAACUUCCUUGGCUUAUGACGGUGGCGUAGUGUGAUAUUCCAUAUAGUUGAUGGGUUAAUGUAAAAAGUUUUCCAUAUGUUGUGUUUAUAUGCUUCGAUGAUAUGAGCGAAACUAUUGAUUUCUAUGUAACCUCUGUUGGGUUUCAAUAUUUGGUUAACUGAGUGUCUAUGCAUGUUGUGAGUUGGGAACAUUAUGGAUAGUCCACACUGUUUUGUAUGUUUCAUUCCCUUAAAAGAAAGUAUGGUGUAAAGUUUCUAUA